rnacentral:rRNA from 1 species
AGAACGAACGCUGGCGGCAUGCCUAACACAUGCAAGUCGAACGGGAUCCAGGCUUCGGCCUGGUGAGAGUGGCGGACGGGUGAGUAACGCGUGGGAACCUGCCCAAUGGUCUGGGAUAACCGCGGGAAACUGCGGCUAAUACCGGAUAAGCCCGAGAGGGGAAAGAUUUAUCGCCGAUGGAGGGGCCCGCGUCAGAUUAGGUAGUUGGUGGGGUAAUGGCCUACCAAGCCUACGAUCUGUAGCUGGUCUGAGAGGAUGAUCAGCCACACUGGGACUGAGAUACGGCCCAGACUCCUACGGGAGCAGCAGUGGGGAAUAUUGGACAAUGGGGGCAACCCUGAUCCAGCAAUGCCGCGUGAGUGAUGAAGGCCUUAGGUUGUAAAGCUCUUUUGGCGGGGACGAUGAUGACGGUACCCGCAGAAUAAGCCCCGGCUAACUCGUGCCAGCAGCCGC